CCAGCAGAGGAGCUGGCCCUUGGAUUGAAUGAAAACCGAACCAUUGUGGAGGGCAUCCCUGGGGGCAGCUCUUCCUCAGACCCAAAGACAGGGACCAGUAGCAGCAACACCUUCAUUACUGUUUUACAUAAUACACCAACACUUUUACCUGUUCCCAUGCAAGUGGUGGCUGAAGCAUAUGCAGACCGUGAAGAAACCCUCUCAGGAGACUGUCCUUUGGAGGAAGAACCUGUAAGUGCAUAAAUACCUUUACACUAAUUUGUAUAUAGUCUACUUGUGUACCUAUUCUUUCUGUCUGCAAUUUGAGUUGCAGGAGUCCACACCUAGAGAAAGGCUUGCAGAAGAGUCUGCACAAAGAACUAAUACAGAGGUGGACAGUGUUGUACUUUUACUUUUUACUUUUGUUGCAUGAGGCAUGUUUUCACUUUUUUUUUUGUUUUUUUUUACAAAAUGACAGGGUG